UACGUAGGGUGCGAGCGUUAUUCGGAAUUACUGGGCGUAAAGCGUGCGCAGGCGGUUUGUUAAGUCCGCUGUGAAAGCCCCGGGCUCAACCUGGGAAUGGCGGUAGAAACUGGCGAGCUAGAGUGUGGCAGAGGGGGGUGGAAUUCCACGUGUAGCAGUGAAAUGCGUAGAGAUGUGGAGGAACACCAAUGGCGAAGGCAGCCCCCUGGGUUAACACUGACGCUCAGGCACGAAAGCGUGGGGAGCAAACAGG
rnacentral:rRNA from 1 species